UUAUAGCCCCGGGCGUAGCGGCAUCCCUGAAGCGCAGCGUAAGGAUACAGCAAAGCACGGGAACAAGC
rnacentral:sRNA from 1 species